AUUGGACGCUGGCGGAAUGCUUUACACAUGCAAGUCGAACGGCAGCACGGACUUCGGUCUGGUGGCGAGUGGCGAACGGGUGAGUAAUGUAUCGGAACGUGCCCAGUCAUGGGGGAUAACGUAGUGAAAAUUACGCUAAUACCGCAUACGAUCUAUGGAUGAAAGCGGGGGAUCGCAAGACCUCGCGCGAUUGGAGCGGCCGAUAUCAGAUUAGGUAGUUGGUGGGGUAAAGGCCCACCAAGCCAACGAUCUGUAGCUGGUCUGAGAGGACGACCAGCCACACUGGAACUGAGACACGGUCCAGACUCCUACGGGAGGCAGCAGUGGGGAAUUUUGGACAAUGGGCGAAAGCCUGAUCCAGCCAUUCCGCGUGCAGGAUGAAGGCCCUCGGGUUGUAAACUGCUUUUGUACAGAACGAAAAGGUUUCUACUAAUACUAGGAGCUCAUGACGGUACUGUAAGAAUAAGCACCGGCUAACUACGUGCCAGCAGCCGCCGUAA
rnacentral:rRNA from 1 species